UUCAUUGUAAUGAACUUGUCAAAUUAAAUCAUCUUUAGCAAAGAUAUAACCAGCAAUAUUGCCAUCCACAACUACAAAAAUGCAGCAUAUUGCCACAACCAUACCACAAUGGUAUCAAUCUACCCUAACAUGGCUAAAAAUUUUAGUUUUCUAAUUUCAAUAAAUAUUACAAUCAAAUCCCAAAAAGGUUCAUUAGCAAUACAGCCACAACAAGGCAGCAUAUUGCCACAUCCAUAUCAUAAUGGUAUCAGUCAACCAAAAUAUAGUCAAAAAUAUGAAUUUUCUAGUUAACAUAACCAAUAUAUUCAACCAACAAAAAGGAAAUAACCGCAGUUCAUUUUUUUUGGUCUCUUGGAGCCACAAUGUCAUAGUCUUGACAUCCUUACAGUUGGUUGCCUCCACUUUGAGGAUCUACUUUGUUGGCUUUCUUGGUUGGUAUCACUUUUAAGCUGACUUGGUUCCUGCAUAUAAGUCUUCAUGGUUAGUAUGUAAGUAGAUCGCAGCACCCAAAAAAAGGCAAUUGAGAACUAGUACCUAUGAAAGAGUAGUAGCAGUAGUACUUGAGACACUAGCCUGAGCUAUAGAAGCUACAGAUGUUGCAUUUGAAGUUGUUGGACCAACUUUAGAUGCCUAUAGUUCAAAUCGAAAUGAAUGAGUGUGUAAGUAACAACAAAACAAACUAAAGAAUUGAUUUGGUUCUAAAAUGUUACAUUACUUUGUAAAGUUUGGACUUAGGGUGAAUUGCUGAUUUGCAGGUUCUUAUGUUAAGUUCAGAGUUCAAAUGCCUUCGGCAAUAAACUGCAAGACCCUUCCUACUUGCUUUCUACUGAUUUAUAGGCUAUUCUAGACCCUUUUUCCUCUGUUUCUUUGGCCUACUAGGCUGUUUUUUACCAAUGGUGGGUUCAAAUAUUUCAUUUUGCUGUCCACCUAGAAUUAUUUCAAAGGAACGGGACCAAUUGUGAAGUUGUAGGCCUUUAAAUAUGCUUCCCUAUGGUGACAAGCAUCAACAUAUUGCUCGAAUUCCAACUUUCUGUUAUUAAUGCAGGCAACCGCAUGCACGCAUGGAAUGCCACUAAGCUGAAAAUAACCAUAGGUACAUGUUUUUAUCUCCAAAUUAACAACAUUUGUCCUUCCAUAACCAUCAACUUCCAAAAUUUCAUUUUCUCCAUAAAUCGCAGCACAAUUUCUUGCAUUUACCUUUAGUUUCUCUAAGUUCUCAUGAAUGUUUUGGGCAUAAAGUGCCACCAUGUUUCAGGAUAUCCUCUCAUUUGGUUGUUGACCUUUGUAUUAAUCUCCUCCGAAUCCACUCCAGCAUUGUUAUUAUUGGCUCAUCUCUAGCUUUUAGAAUAUAAUUAUCCCAUGUCUCACUCAUGUUGUUGACGCAUGUGUCACUCCUACAAGCUGUACUGGACCAUAGUUUUGGAGGCAACUGUUUGAACCAUCCUGCAGCUGCUAGCUUGUCACCUUCCUGUGGAUCUGCCCUUUCAAGAUUUGCUAGGGUAGUUUCAUACUCUGAUAUGCUUGUUGCUGCAGCAACUUUCUAAAACAUGCCUCUAUGGUUUGGAUUAUUGAAUCUUUGUUUGAAGUUCCCGAACAUAUGUUUCAGGCAGAAUUUGUGCUCUAAUUCAGGGAACAACUCCUCAAUUGCAUGGACAAGACCCCUUUGUCUAUCCGAAAUGAAAGUGUAAGCCACUCCUUUGUUUCCUCUUCCAAUUUGGGUGGUUAAUACCUGCAAAACCAACUCCAACUAUCAUAGUUCUCUACCUCAACAACAGUAGAGGAAAUAGGGAACGUGUUUUUAUUGGCAUCCCUACCCAAGACUGUAAGCAGCUGAUUUCCAAAGGGACUCUUCAGCAAGCAGCCAUCUAGUCCUAUCAUAGGUCUGCAUCCUUCUAGAAAAUCAUUCUUUGGAGUACCUAAUCCAUAAUAUAUCCUCUGAAAUGUAGCCCUUUUCUCAACAUUUUGCCUAUCAAUUUGUAGUGAAAUAUGACUAUCAGGAUUGGAUAUUUUUGCAGUAGCUACAUAAUCCCAAAGUUUGUGGUAUUGUUCCAUGUCAUUUUUCGUAAGUGCCUCUAAUACUUUCGGCUUUGUUCUUGCAGCUUUUUUCUAACUAAUGUCUAGCAUAAAUAAUCUGCUUGUCUCAUUCACUAUGGCAGGAAUACUGUACCCAAGAUCAUCCCUCACCUUGACAUAAAAUUUAUUACUUAGAUAUGUUGAAGUGGCAUGUCUAUUGUUGUAAUUCCUGCCACAAUGGUACUCUUCCUUAAGAGUUUUGAUCAUAAAUAUCUUUGUUCUAUAGAUUCUGCUUGCAUGAAUUCUCCAACUGCACCCUUUUGCACAUGUAGUUAUGAUUUGAGAGCCUUCAUUUUUUAUGUAUUUGUGCUCAUAUCCCUCCGUAAUUUCUCAUUCCACCAAGCCUCUUUAAAUUUACAGAAGUUAGUAAAUUUAUGGCCAACCUUUAGUUCAAAGAGCUCUUUCCUAAACUCUUCCUCCGCAUUGAAGUAACUGUAAUUAGGAAUGCUAUCGUCAUCAUAUCGUAUCCCUUUGUCAAACAGGUUUUCAUCAUCCUCUACUGGCUCAUUCGAGUUCUCAGCCUGUUCAUUAGCACAAUAGCUAUCAUCCACACCUGAUGUUGGUUGACUCCCCACUUCAUGGGUCUGGUUCUUUGUUUGUUUCCUUGAUUUCGAUUACUGAUCUUGUUGCUGCUGCUUUGAAUCAAUUUGUUUUUUGGAUUAGGCCUGCUGAUUUUCUUCUUGUUAAUCUAAAUCGACUUGUUUUCUAGUUUUUACUUGCUAAUUUUCUUUUUACUGCUGUGAACCAACUCCAACAGAAUUUGUAGAUUUUAGAUUUAUAGAUGCCUGUGUUGAUUAUUAACCUUUUAAACCUACAAAUAUGUCAUCAUCUUCAGGCCAUUCUAGUGUUUCUCUUAGCCAGUCAGGAAGAUCUGAAUAAUCUGGUAUGACAUCAUCUUCUUCUCUGCCUUCAUGAACUAUUUUUUCUCCCUUAAUAUUAGUUGUUUCUUCUAUUGGAUCUCUCUCAACUGUUGUUUCAUCUACUGAAUUCCUUGUGGGAGACUGCCGGAGCUCUGAGGAUGUAUCAACUUUUUCUUUCUCUUUAAAUAACCGCCUCACUGACUUUCUUGCACUUAACUUUACUCUCUGCCACUUAACUUUUUUAUCAUUUGUUGUUUUCUUCCUCUUGGACUUGUUAGUUAAAUAAUGUAUCUCCUCUCUAUGUGGUCCCACAAAAGUUGGAUUCGACUUCAUUUGUGAUGACUCUUCAUCACAGAUGUCCUUUCCUCUAGAGUUAAUGUGUGGAAUGUCAUUAUUAUCAUUAUUCCCAAUUACUAAAGGGUCAAUGUUAUCACUGCUUUUAAUAACUGAGGAUGAACUAAUUUCAGCAUGUCAAUUGUUAUGAUAUGGAAGUGCAAGUAGGCCAUCACUAGUCACUCUCUUGUAUAGUAAUUUUUCAUCUGAAAACAUAACUUCAAUGGGAUCAGGCCCCCUCUCAGCAUAUAUGUGCAUUUUUGGAAGUCCCUCAUAACAUGUUAAAACUCGAUGUCAACAUCAUCCUUAAUGCUAACAACACCAAUAUCAAGGUCAUAAAAGGGGAUAGAGUACCAGAAAUUCAUAUUUGUUAUGCCGCGCUCAAUUGUGACAUUCAUUUUUUGAAAUUCAGAUGGAGAUAAUUCAUCAGGAUCCCAUCCACAAAAUACUCUGACAUAUUUGCCAGUGUAUCUAAUUAUCGAUUUUCAUUUGAAAUAUCCAUCAUAAUGCAUGUGUAUAUAUAUGGUCUUAAACGGAUGAUCUUCCAUUCUUAUACACCUAAACCAAAGUAACAGAGAUUAAUUUACUAAUUUUAUUUUCAAAUGUAUCGAAAAGAACGGGCAAUAUUUCAUACACUUUCGGUUUCAAAAAAACAUAGUCAACAUUAACACACCUAUCUAGAAGGAUAAAAAACAUAAUACCAGUAUGGGCUACAAUAGUCCCGGUUACUCCAAAAAGAUCCAUUCUUUUCUACUUUUUGCAUAUUUAGCAAUUUUUAAAAACUUUUCCCACAAAGAUUGUCAGAAAAACUUCUGACUAAGCCAAAACUGACACUUUUUACCAAGUUUCAAAAUAUCCCCAACAAUUUACUACCAAAACACCUUCCAUCAAACCAAUCAACACCUCUAAAAUUUAGGGUUCAGAUCUAAGAUUACUUCGUUAAUAGCUAUGCAAUGCUCAAUACGUCACAACCCUCGACCAAUCUGCACAGAAAUGCCUUCUUUGUCUACGAGUUACACAUGAAAAUCCCAUUGUUUAUCAGUGCCGUAGAAGACGACAGUGAUUGGGCGGAACUUGGCUGUAGAUAUAGCGUUUCUCUCUCUACACAUGAAGUACCGCUCAAGAUCUGCUAAUUGCAUCUGUACCUUUUCAGAUAUUAUAAAUGAGGGUAUUUUUGGUAUUUUAUAUUAUUACUGGCUUUCCAGCCAGUUAGCUAUUAAAAUCCAAAAAAAUCCAAAAUACAAGGGAGUUAAGUGAGUGUUUCUAGACAAUAAGGGGGUUUCGUGUCAAUUUUCCUAACCACAAGGGGAUUUUCUAUAUUUUACCCAUAAUUUUGCUAAAAAAAGUAUAUUUGCUUAGAAUAAGAUCUCUUAAUAAUAACUUAAAUUUCUUCUAGAAUUAGUAAAUUUCAACAAUUAUAAUGGCAUUGGAAAGGUAUCAAGUUGAAGGAAUGAAACAGGCCAUAAAGAUUAAACAAUUCAUAAUGAACAAGAAGAAUAUACCUUAAUAUGCAACUUGGUCCAUGUGAGAUAAAUCUUCAAACUUUUGCCAACUCAAUUUCUUUUGAUUGUCUUUACUUCCUGCAUAUAUAACAAAAAAAAUUCAAAACAAAAAAUUUACAAAAAAUUCUAAGAACAAUAAAGCAAGUAACUGGUACACAGAUAGUAGAUGUUUGACAGUAAAACAAUAAAGUUUACCUUUUUUUUUUAUCCCGUGAAGAUUUUUACACUAAUCUUCUACACACAUCAAUACUUGAGCUGUAUCUGGGUGAAGUGAAGCCUGAUGGGUACCAAUUACUAGAGUCUUGGCACUAAAUGUGGCCUCGGAUGCAACUGUAUUUACUAGAAUGGCCAAAAGAUUACAGGCCAUCUGAAACAAUACUGGGUAUGGGAUCCAAUUUAUUUUCCAUAAUUCCAAACAAUCAAAGUCUUUGGUGGUUGUUCCAAUCUUUUGGCAAGACUUGUCUAAAUAAUCAACAAAUUCAUAUUUAUAGGGUUCAAUAUUCUAUAUUUCAUCACAAUACUUAUCAAAGUCAUCCUAAGCAGAAAAAUAUUGUAUAUUUUUUCCUACCCUUUCUAUAUUUUUUCCUACCCUUUCUGAAGAGUGGUCUUCCACUACUUGUCCAUUUGCAUUCACUGUCAAAGCAACAUACUCCUCAUGCAACUCAAAUAUAACUUUUCAAAUAUUGGAAAUGUUCUCAAAAGCUGGGGUAGAAAAGCUCUAUAACCCAUAUUUUCUAUCUCAGAUCUAAAAUGGCAGCAACUGUCAUUAGCAAAUUACAUUCAACAUUGUGAUGACCCCACCUUCUUCUAGGGCGUACCCUAGAAGUUAGCGGACCGCCUGCCUGACUUUCAUCAGAACUGACUCACUCACAUUGAUUUCAGAGAUAAUAUUUCCAUUAAACAACUGAACGUUCAAUCCUAAGUACAACUCCAAUCAGCUUGAAACAUAAAUUUUUCCAAUAAAAGAAACAAAAUAUAUGUUCUAAACAUCCAUUCUUAAUACCACACCAAACUCAUGAUAAAAGGUUCGACCAUUUCAAGGUACAAAGGAAAACCAUAGCUACAAUAUAUACACACUAACAGAUCUUCCAAAACAACUUACUAAUUCAACUCGAUCAUUCUUCAAACUUCAAUUCCUGUAAGGAAAACAAACUAAAAGGUUGAGCGAAACCCAGUGAGGUUCCACACAAUUAACAAUCAAUAAACUCUUAAACCAAUUAAGCCAAUAACAAAAUUAAACAACUAAGGAACACUUCACUGAAUGAAUUAGAGAACACUUCACUGAACAAUCACUUUUAAAAGGAUACGAUGCUCGCAUUAGAGCCAUUUCAAUGCACUACACACUCCACCAAACUCCUCCUUAUAACCUCCAAAACAAUCACUUCCCUCACUUAGAUGGCCAUAUCAAUAUCAGUAAUCUGCUACUCCGUGGUAAUACUCGAGCAUACCAAUACACUUACCCAAAGCUACCGUCCUAUCCGACCAAACCCUUUUGUUAGCUCGAAUAAUCCGUUGAACAAGGGUUUUGGGACCCAGUUCAGUCGGUGUAGUAAAGUACACACACGGCUUACAGUCAUGCACACUUACGAUAACACUUGGUCAAUUAUCAACCUUCAAUCUCAAACUAAGUCAAGUGCGAUAAAGUACACUCCCGACUUAGAAGGCGAGGGACAAUUGAAAACAUUUCAUAAUAAAGCACUGGCAUAAUCAUAAAAGUAUCAUUUAAGUAACACAUAGGCAAUUUAAACACACAAAUGUGGAAACACUCAUCAAAUUCCAAAUAAAUUACUCUCGAGCCUCGGGUUUACUUUCUGACUCACAGCUACCCCCCUGAGACAAGUUUAUAACUCUAAAGUGAAUAUACAAUUUAGAGAUGACCACUUAUCAUUUAUUACAUUAUGAUUUAAAAUAAAGUCGAGUUUUGGCUUUAAAAUACAAGAUAUAACAUAUUCAAUACCUAUCUUACAUUUCACCUCAAAACUUAUCACCUUUAUCAAUUUAAACUAAAGAAAUAACAUAUAUUCCAAGUUUAAAGUCUUAUAAGAUGUUUAGCUUAAGAUUAAACCAUUUUUUAUUCAUUAUUCUAAGAUUAAGGCAAAUAGACUUUUCAUUCUUUCUUUUUUAGAUUAAACUAGAUUCUAAGUUGCCUAUAGUUUAAAUCUCGUUUAAAUUUUUUUAAGUUCUUUAAAAUGCUCAUAAAAAUAGUUUCAAGAUGCUAUAAGAUGCUCCAUAUAAAUUCACAACCAUUUAACCUAAAUUUUCAAAAAUUUCAUGAGAGCUUCAUCUCUUCACACAUUCGGUCAGUCAAAGCAAGAAGUUUAGCUCAAAUGUUUCUAAAUCUUCAACAAAUUCCAUCUUUCACUUGCUUAAACAUUAGUUGCUUAGUAUACAUCCCGUUCAACAUGAACUAAGGUGAGUAAUUCAUAAUUUCAGCAUGUUAUUCGGCUAAAUCACAUACAAAAGCUGUCAUGAACUAUAACAUUCCCCAACUAAAUUUUCUAGCAGUGUAACAGUCCAACAUUUGUUGUUUUUUUUCCUCAAAUCCUUCCUUUCAAUUUCAUGUUCCAACUAAACAGGAAAAUCAUAUUUGUUAAGCUACAAAGUAGCCUUAAACAGAACGUAGAAAAUUUGUAGCUAAACUCAAAGGAAAGACUGAUCAAAACUCUUCUCUCUUUCUCGGCCAUGAUGUAAAUUCAGUAGCAAUCAGCUUUCAAUCAGAAUUUUCUCCAUUAGUCACUUCAUUAUGUACUCAAAUCCAACAAACAUGCUAAAACUGACAUGUUACAACUUAGUACGUUGGUUUAGAGGCUAAAAUUUACAGAGGACAACCAGAGUUUCCUACUUUUUCAUCUCGGUUGAAGCCAAUAAAUUUCCAGCAGAGCAGUAGUUUAUCAUUUGACAUUUUCUCAUAGCUUACUCUUCUAUUUUAUGUUCCAAUUAAUCAUGCAGAGGAUAUUUAUUCAACUACAGAUUAUCCUAAACAAAACGUGGAAGUUUAUGACCAAAAUUCAAGAGAAAAACUGAAUUCAAUCUCAUGUCUGCGUUUGACUGCAAAUCUGAUGCAUAGCAGCAUGCAUCAGAUUUCUUUCGUGCUCAAUUCUCUCCAUCUCAUGCUCACUUUCUCACGCAUGAAGAAAUCAAGAUGCUGUGCAACAUGUACAGAUUAAUACAGGAUUUUUCGAGUUAUUAUUUACAAAGUCAGCUGAUUUCCUCCCAUUUUUCCUAUCGGAUGAGGCUGGAAAUUCCAGCAGGUGCUUUUCGUUUGUUCAUUUCAAUUUUCCAACUUUCUCCCAAAAUUCCUGCAGCUAAACCUUUAUAAUACCUAAGUUAUCUGUAUAACAAGUUCUUCCUUUGUUAUCUUUUCCUUUUUACACUACGAAUCGAACUGCAAUUUCUAUUGAUACCUCUCAGUUCCUACCAGUUCAGUCAAAUAUUCAUUUCAUCUUCAUAAUAGAAUCUUUCUACCGAAGCUUAUUCUCUUCGUCUACCAAACUCAACUUGCAGCUUAAACAUAUACUUAGUUAUACUCAGUAUAUAAGUGUUAUUCACGAAACUUACCUCUUGCCUUAAGUGUUAGACCUCUUGCCUUAAGUGUUAGGAAUUGCAGCCAAAAUCAGUUUCCUUUCCAGCUUUGUUCUCUCCAGUCCUUGGUUAGUUAAUGACGAAACUCACCAGGCUCUCGGUCUCACUUUCUCAAUCUUGCUCUCUUUUCUCACUCUCUCUGUUUUCUCUCGGUGUUGGCUUGGUAAAGAGAGGAACUAAAGUUUUAUUUUGUUCUCAGCCACCGCCCAAAUUUUAGCAGAUAGUUUUCUGCUUUUCCUUUCGGUCACCGCUUGUAUUUAGCAGACCAUUGGC
rnacentral:lncRNA from 1 species